UCACUGCCAUUAUGGAACAUUAAACCAUGGCUCAUAUGGAGGUCUCCAUAGGGGCUUCAUUAAACACCAGAGGUUUCCUAUAGAUUUAACCAUCAGGGAGCUGCUCAUCUCUUGCUGGUUGUCAGCCCUCCUGUGUUAGAGACUCUCUUGCAGCCAAGGCCAGAAGAGCAGGCGGUGCCUUCUCAAGGUUUUGGAAAGCCUAAUGACCACCAUGGAAAUAUUUAUAGCUUCCUCUUCCAGGAAACUGUUGUGGGAUUUGCACUGGCUUUUCGACCAAAUCAGUGGUCUGGUGGCUCUUCAGGGCUUCUCUGCCAUGGCUCCAGCCACUGCUUACCUCAAAUGAGCUGAAAGGGUCCAUGUGUCAAGGUGGGAGUGCUCAGUGAUGCACACUCAUCCCUGUCUGCUGCCUGGCCUGAGCAGCAUCUGGCUGAAAGUGCCCCAGCUCCCUCCUGGAAAGCAGAAAGGGAGAUGAACCAGGAGGAAAAGAAGCAAAAAUUUGAACAGGACAAGGAUGGGCAGCGCUUAUAAGUUUUGUGUUUGAAGCACAGCUUGAGUCUCCUUCUGGAAUCAUCACUUAGUUUCACUGAUUAUACAGAGCAAUGCAGCCUCUGACAUUAGGAGACUAAAUUAGGUAAGGUGAUUACUCCUUUAAACUCAAAUCAGGUGCUAAUCCUUCAGGCAUCCUGAUCUUUCUGGCUUCUC